GACGAACGCUGGCGGCGUGCUUAACACAUGCAAGUCGAACGGAAAGGCCCUGCUUUUGUGGGGUGCUCGAGUGGCGAACGGGUGAGUAACACGUGAGUAACCUGCCCUUGACUUUGGGAUAACUUCAGGAAACUGGGGCUAAUACCGGAUAGGAGCUCCUGCUGCAUGGUGGGGGUUGGAAAGUUUCGGCGGUUGGGGAUGGACUCGCGGCUUAUCAGCUUGUUGGUGGGGUAGUGGCUUACCAAGGCUUUGACGGGUAGCCGGCCUGAGAGGGUGACCGGCCAAAUUGGGACUGGGAUACGGCCCAAGCUCCUACGGGGGGCAGGAGGGGGGAAUAUUGCAAAAGGGGCGGAAGCCGGAUGCAGCAACCCCGGGUGGGGGAUGGCGGCCUUGGGGUGGUAACCCGUUUUCGCCUGUGACGAAGCGGGGGGGACGGUAAUGGGUAAAAAAGCACCGGCUAAUUACGG
rnacentral:rRNA from 1 species